GUGGGGAAUAUUGGACAAUGGGCGAAAGCCUGAUCCAGCCAUGCCGCGUGAGUGAUGAAGGCCUUAGGGUUGUAAAGCUCUUUCAGUAGGGAAGAUAAUGACGGUACCUACAGAAGAAGCCCCGGCUAACUUCGUGCCAGCAGCCGCGGUAAUACGAAGGGGGCUAGCGUUGUUCGGAUUUACUGGGCGUAAAGCGCACGUAGGCGGAUUGGUCAGUUAGAGGUGAAAGCCUGGAGCUCAACUCCAGAACUGCCUUUAAUACUGCCAGUCUAGAGUCCAGAAGAGGUGAGUGGAACUCCUAGUGUAGAGGUGGAAUUCGUAGAUAUUAGGAAGAACACCAGUGGCGAAGGCGGCUCACUGGUCUGGUACUGACGCUGAGGUGCGAAAGCGUGGGGAGCAAACAGGAUUAGAAACCCUGGUAGUCC
rnacentral:rRNA from 1 species